rnacentral:rRNA from 2 species
AACCCAGCAGUUUUAAUCAACUGUUACCACUAGAUGAAUUCAUAGUCUAGUUGGAGGUAAACGCUGUGAACUGAAACAUCUCAUUAGCAGCAGGAAUAUAAAGAAAUUUCGAUUCCCUAAGUAGCGGCGAGCGAACGGGGAACAGCCCAAACCAAAGUGCUUGCACUUUGGGGUUGUAGGACUGAACAUUUGAGUUACCAAAGAACUUGAUAGUCGAAGGAUUUGGGAAAAUCCGCCAUAGAUGGUGAUAGCCCAGUAGAUUAAAUCAAAUUCUCUCAGUUCAGGAUCCUGAGUACGGCGGAACACGUGAAAUUCCGUCGGAAUCCGGGAGGACCAUCUCCCAAGGCUAAAUACUACCUAGUGACCGAUAGUGAACCAGUACCGUGAGGGAAAGGUGAAAAGCACCCCGGGAGGGGAGUGAAAUAGUUCCUGAAACCAUGUGCCUACAAUAAGUCAGAGCGCGUUAAUGCGUGAUGGCGUGCCUUUUGUAGAAUGAACCGGCGAGUUAUGAUCCCGUGCAAGGUUAAGACUAAAAAGUCGGAGCCGUAGCGAAAGCGAGUCUGAAAUGGGCGUUUUGAGUACGAGGUUAUAGACCCGAAACCAGGUGACCUAUCCAUGUCCAGGUUGAAGGUGCGGUAAAACGCACUGGAGGACCGAACCCGUGUAAGUUGAAAAUUGCUGGGAUGAGGUGUGGAUAGCGGUGAAAUUCCAAACGAACUUGGAGAUAGCUGGUUCUCUCCGAAAUAGCUUUAGGGCUAGCCUCGGAAUUAGGAUCAUGGAGGUAGAGCACUAUUUGGACUAGGGGCCCGUCUUGGGUUACUGAAUUCAGAUAAACUCCGAAUGCCAUUGAUUCAUAUCCGGGAGUCAGACGAUGAGUGAUAAGAUCCACCGUCGAAAGGGGAACAGCCCAGACCAUCAGUUAAGGUCCCUAAAUGUAUGCUAAGUGGAAAAGGAUGUGGAGUUGCAUAGACAACUAGGAUGUUGGCUCAGAAGCAGCCACCAUUUAAAGAGUGCGUAAUAGCUCACUAGUCGAGUGAUCCUGCGCCGAAAAUGUACCGGGGCUAAGCAUACUACCGAAACCAUGGAUGCGACCAUUAGGUCGCGUGAUAGGAGAGCGUUCUAAGGGCGGUGAAGCAAGAUCGUGAGGACUUGUGGAGCGCUUAGAAGUGAGAAUGCCGGUAUGAGUAGCGAAAGAUAGGUGAGAAUCCUAUCCACCGAAUGACUAAGGUUUCCUGGGGAAGGCUCGUCCUCCCAGGGUUAGUCGGGACCUAAGUCGAGGCCGAGAGGCGUAGACGAUGGAUAACAGGUUGAGAUUCCUGUACUAGUUAAGUGCGUUUGAGCAAUGGAGGGACGCAGGAGGCUAAGAUGUGCAUUCUGUUGGAUUAGAAUGUCCAAGCAGUAAGUCUUGUGAAGAGUCAAAUGCUUUUCACUUUAAGGACAAGCUGUGAUGGGGAGCGAAAUUUAGUAGCGAAGCGUCUGAUGUCACACUGCCGAGAAAAGCUUCUAGUGAGUACUUAACUACCCGUACCGCAAACCGACACAGGUAGUCGAGGAGAGAAUCCUAAGGUGAGCGAGUGAACUCUCGUUAAGGAACUCGGCAAAAUGACCCCGUAACUUCGGGAGAAGGGGUGCUGAUCGCAAGAUCAGCCGCAGUGAAUAGGCCCAGGCGACUGUUUAUCAAAAACACAGGUCUCUGCAAAAUCGUAAGAUGACGUAUAGGGGCUGACGCCUGCCCGGUGCUGGAAGGUUAAAAGGAUGGGUUAGCUUCGGCGAAGCUCAGAAUUGAAGCCCCAGUAAACGGCGGCCGUAACUAUAACGGUCCUAAGGUAGCGAAAUUCCUUGUCGGGUAAGUUCCGACCCGCACGAAAGGCGUAACGAUCUGGGCACUGUCUCAACGAGAGACUCGGUGAAAUUAUAUUGUCCGUGAAGAUGCGGACUACCCGCGACAGGACGGAAAGACCCCAUGGAGCUUUACUGUAGCUUGAUAUUGAGUGUUUGUACAGCUUGUACAGGAUAGGUAGGAGCCAUAGAAACCGGAACGCUAGUUUCGGUGGAGGCGUUGGUGGGAUACUACCCUCGCUGUAUGACCACUCUAACCCGCACCACUAAUCGUGGUGGGAGACAGUGUCAGGUGGGCAGUUUGACUGGGGCGGUCGCCUCCUAAAAAGUAACGGAGGCGCCCAAAGGUUCCCUCAGAAUGGUUGGAAAUCAUUCGCAGAGUGUAAAGGCACAAGGGAGCUUGACUGCGAGACAGACAGGUCGAGCAGGGACGAAAGUCGGGCUUAGUGAUCCGGUGGUACCGUAUGGAAGGGCCAUCGCUCAACGGAUAAAAGCUACCCUGGGGAUAACAGGCUUAUCUCCCCCAAGAGUCCACAUCGACGGGGAGGUUUGGCACCUCGAUGUCGGCUCAUCGCAUCCUGGGGCUGUAGUCGGUCCCAAGGGUUGGGCUGUUCGCCCAUUAAAGCGGUACGCGAGCUGGGUUCAGAACGUCGUGAGACAGUUCGGUCCCUAUCCGUCGCGGGCGUAGGAAAUUUGAGAGGACCUGUCCUUAGUACGAGAGGACCGGGAUGGACAUACCUCUGGUGUACCAGUUGUGCCGCCAGGCGCAUCGCUGGGUAGCUACGUAUGGAUGUGAUAAACGCUGAAAGCAUCUAAGUGUGAAACACACCUCGAGAUGAGAUUUCCCAUUCCUUUAUGGAAGUAAGACCCCUGAAAGAUGAUCAGGUAGAUAGGUUAGAAGUGGCAGUGCGGUGACGCAUGAAGCGGACUAAUACUAAUCGGUCGAGGACUUAACCAAG